CAAUUUCCAUAAGGUGAAUACAGAAAGGAACUACAAGCAUUGGAAAUGAAUGGGGGAGUUUAAUUCAGCCGCGUUUCACUCCCACUGAGGAGGCAUACAGAUGGCUGCACAGAACUCAGCAAAAACAGAGCCAGGAGUCAGGGAGAGGGAGACUUCAACUGGGGUUUCGAGUGGAGUUGCUCAUUUAUUUCCCCCUGUAUCAGUCUGCCUCCUGGGAUAUCGCAUGGACAGGUACAGGCAAACAGUUCCAAAUAAGGGAAUGCAUGCUGUGCGAGUGUAAUGCUCUGCUUUCCUUAGUGGCAUGUUUUCAGCAAGUUUGCCAUGUGCUACAGCUGGCCUAGGCAGGAUUUUGCAAAAGGAAAGAAGAAUAUUCACACUAAGGUCCCUGAAGCCACACUUCUGCAAACUAGCAGCUACCAAAAAGGUAUACAAGUGGUAGACUCUGCAGAAAGAAACUAGCAACAAGGAAACUGCAUGCAGUUUUUCUAAAAUGGAGUUUUGCUAUGAAGAAUGUGAUUAAAGCUCUCAUAUGAGAGCAAGAACCAAAUUCCUGAAUGAUUUCUAUUAGGAGACAAUGGACUAGAGAAGUAACUCCAUGGAUUCAGUAGGAGUACACAAGGGAUAGGGUCAAAACAAGUAUUCUCAUUUUGACUGGACUCCCUGCUUCAGAAUUCUGUAUUUGGAGCACUUCAGGAGAUGCCCGAAGUUUCUACUACCAUACUUAAAGAGUCACCAAAGCAGGAAAUGUGAGCUCAUGCCAGCUUUCUUAGGGGGAAAAAGAAGAUCUUCAAAGCAACAGUAUAAUUCUAGCAUCUCCAGAAAUGCUAAAGCCCUGACAAUUGUCUGAAGAAAAGUGUUGCAACACAGGCAUAAAUUCAACCUGUAUGAGACAUUAUACAGAAAGAAGACUCCAGAAGAGUAGAUGGCCUGUGUCUUCACUUCUCUGGAGCAGGCUGAUUUCAUUUGACUGCCGCAGUACACAGCAUCCAAUCCUGUGUCUCUGCCAAGACCUUUACUGCCCUGAGACAUAAUUAUUACUCUUGGGAAUUUUUUCAUCUAUAAUGGAGAAAAGUCUGAAGUGCUUCAUGCC
ensembl:lncRNA